rnacentral:piRNA from 1 species
UGCUCAGAAAGAUAAUUUUGCAUUCCAAUG